ACACAUGGCCAAUGUGGGUCAAAGUCUAGUAUCUGUUCUCAUCAGCUUAAUAUCUGAUAUGGGUUCUAUUUGGACCCAAGAUAUUAAACUUAUUUUUGCAAGUUGGUGGAGGGAUUGAAGCCUGCUUUACCUCCACGACUGGUUGGCCCGGUAUUGCACUAUCUCCGGGAUUGGCUUAUGGUUU